rnacentral:rRNA from 1 species
UACGUAGGGGCAAGCGUUGUCCGGAAUCAUUGGGCGUAAAGCGCGUGUAGGCGGCUAGGUAAGUCUGCUCUGAAAGCCCGGGGCUCAACCCCGGGAGGCGGGUGGAUACUGUCUAGCUCGAGUCCGGAAGAGGAGUGUGGAAUUCCUGGUGUAGCGGUGAAAUGCGCAGAUAUCAGGAGGAACACCAAUGGCGAAGGCAGCACUCUGGGACGUGACUGACGCUGAGACGCGAAAGCGUGGGGAGCAAACAGG